ACCCGUUGAUCCUGCGGGAGGUCGCUGCUAUCAGAAUUCGACUUAACUAAGCUAGCCCAGGGGCUUCUUCGGAAGCACCGGCAGACAGUUCCGUAACACGUAGAUAAUCUACCCUUAGGUCAGGGAUAACCUUGGAAAACUGAGGCUAAUACCUGAUAGGAGAAAGAUACUGGAAUGUACUCUCUCCCAAAGGUUACGCCUAAGGAUGAGUCUGCGGCUGAUUAGGCUGUUGGUGGGGUAAUGGCCCACCAAACCUAAGAUCAGUAGGGGCCUUGAGAGAGGUAGCCCCGAGGAGGACACUGAGAUAAGGGUCCUGACUCUACGGAGUAUAGCAAGUGCGAAACCUUUACAAUACAUGAAAGUGUGAUAAGGGGAUUCUGAGUGCCUAUGCGUUGCAUAGGCUUUUUGCCGAGAGUAAAAAUCUCGGAGAAUAAGUGGUGGGCAAGACUGGUGCCAGCAGCCGCGGUAACACCAGCGCCACAAGUGGGGACCCGUAUUAUUGGGCCUAAAGCGUCCGUAGCCGGUUUAGUAAAUCUUAUGUGAAAUCGUAGGGCUUAACCUUACGGCGUGCAAAAGACACUACUAAACUUGAGACCGGGAGGAGUCAGAGGUAUUUCUUGGGUAGCGGUAAAAUGCAAUAAUCCAAGGAGGACCACCUGUGGCGAAGGCGUCUGACUAGAACGGAUCUGACGGUGAGGGACGAAAGCCAGGGGAGCGAACCGGAUUAGAUACCCGAGUAGUCCUGGCCGUAAACGCUGCGAGCUAGGUGUUGCAUGUUCCUCGAGAAUAUGCAGUGUCGAAGCGAAGGCGAUAAGCUCGCCGCCUGGGAAGUACGGUCGCAAGACUGAAACUUAAAGGAAUUGGCGGGGGAGCACAACAAGGGGUGCGGCGUGCGGUUUAAUCCAACUCAACACGGAGAAUCUCACCAGAGGCGACGGCAGAAUGAAAGUCAGGUUGAAGACCUUACUCAACAAGCCGAGAGGUGGUGCAUGGCCGUCGUCAGCUCGUGCUGUGAAGUGUCCUGUUAAGUCAGGCAACGAGCGAGACCUGUACCUACAAUUGCCAUCAGCUGAAUUUCAGGACUGGGCACAUUGUAGGGACUGCCCGUGAAAACGGGAGGAAGGUGCAGGCAACGGUAGGUCUGUAUGCCCCGAAUCCUCUGGGCUACACGCGCGCAACAAUGGUAGGGAUAAUGGGAUACAACUCCGAAAGGAGAAGUUAAACCUCGAAACCCUAUCUCAAUUCAGAUUGAGGAUUGUAACUCAUCCUCAUGACGACGGAAUCCCUAGUAAUCAGAUGUUAUCAUCAUCUGGUGAAUAUGUCCCUGCUCCUUGCACACACCGCCCGUCAAACCAACCGAGCAGGGUUAAGGUGAAACCUAGUUUCUUAAUUAGGUUGAAUCUUGACUCAGUGAGGUGGGUUAAGUCGUCACAAGGUA
rnacentral:rRNA from 1 species